CAAAAAAUCAUUGUUUUUCUUUGGAUUCAAAAAGCCUUAAGGAUAAGAGAGCAUAAACUUUGAGUAUCUUCAUUACAUUACAUAAGCUAUUCAUCCUCUUUCACUUUCCCCAUUCUUUACUUUUGGUGAUUCUUUUGUUUUGACACAAUUUCUAUUCAUUUCUUUUCCUUUUGUAACACAUUUUCUUUGAUUUUCAUUUGUGUGUCAAAUGACUUUCAAUGUUUUUCUUUUUCAAUCACCAUCUUCAACCUCUCAUGUUUUUCAACUACUUCUUUUUUUCUCUUUUUUUUUAUUCAAACAAAUAACCUCUUUUCUCCCCAACUUGGUUUCAACCCUACUUAAACUCAAUGCUCAAUCAUCCUAAGACAAGGGUCAAGUCAUUGUUUUUCUUUAUUGUGGUUCAAGGGUUCAAAAUCAAACAAAAUUUCAAAAAUUUUGGCUCACGGGGGUAGCAAAGGAUCACACUAACUCACAAGGUAGGUUAUUUUGGCUUAAGUAGUUACCACUCAAAUAGAAACAUGGCCUUGAUCAUUUCCAUGACUUCAAACACAUCAAGUAAUAGCAAGAUUCAGUUAAAAUCAACAGAGUUAAACACAAUUAUCGGCUCUCAAAUAUAUAAAUAAUGGAAGGUUCACACAAUCUCACCCGGCUAGGUCUACGUGAUUCAUAAUCAAUCAAUCAUGUUAAGAAGGAAUGGAUGAAAUCAAAUUGAAUAAAGCUACUUGGUUCAAAUUCAUCCUA
rnacentral:lncRNA from 1 species